GAUGAACGCUGGCGGCGUGCCUAAUACAUGCAAGUCGAGCGAACGGACGAGAAGCUUGCUUCUCUGAUGUUAGCGGCGAACGGGUGAGUAACACGUGGAUAACCUACCUAUAAGACUGGGAUAACUUCGGGAAACCGGAGCUAAUACCGGAUAAUAUUUUGAACCGCAUGGUUCAAAAGUGAAAGACGGUCUUGCUGUCACUUAUAGAUGGAUCCGCGCUGCAUUAGCUAGUUGGUAAGGUAACGGCUUACCAAGGCAACGAUGCAUAGCCGACCUGAGAGGGUGAUCGGCCACACUGGAACUGAGACACGGUCCAGACUCCUACGGGAGGCAGCAGUAGGGAAUCUUCCGCAAUGGGCGAAAGCCUGACGGAGCAACACCGCGUGAGUGAUGAAGGUCUUCGGAUCGUAAAACUCUGUUAUUAGGGAAGAACAUAUGUGUAAGUAACUGUGCACAUCUUGACGGUACCUAAUCAGAAAGCCACGGCUAACUACGUG
rnacentral:rRNA from 1 species